GGACAAGAGAUACACCCGUUCACGGGAGACCGUGAACGGUACGGGCCGAGGCCUCCCCAGCUUCGCCCUGGUCGUGCCCUCGCGCACACAACCGGAGGCCCCGGUCUCCGGGUCUCCUCACGAUCGGA
rnacentral:ncRNA from 1 species